GCCUGGGUGGCUCAGUUGCUUAAGUAUCUGACUUCCUCUCAGGUCAAGAGCUCAUGGUAUGUGAGUUCAAGCCCCACCUCGGGCU
rnacentral:tRNA from 1 species